GAUGAACGCUGGCGGCGUGCCUAAUACAUUCAAGUCGAGCGAACAGAUGAGGAGCUUGCUCCUCUGACGUUAGCGGCGGACGGGUGAGUAACACGUGGAUAACCUACCUAUAAGACUGGGAUAACUUCGGGAAACCGGAGCUAAUACCGGAUAAUAUAUUGAACCGCAUGGUUCAAUAGUGAAAGACGGUUUUGCUGUCACUUGUAGAUGGAUCCGCGCCGCAUUAGCUAGUUGGUAAGGUAAAGGCUUACCAAGGCAACGAUGCGUAGCCGACCUGAGAGGGUGAUCGGCCACACUGGAACUGAGACACGGUCCAGACUCCUACGGGAGGCAGCAGUAGGGAAUCUUCCGCAAUGGGCGAAAGCCUGACGGAGCAACGCCGCGUGAGUGAUGAAGGUCUUCGGAUCGUAAAACUCUGUUAUUAGGGAAGAACAAAUGUGUAAGUAACUAUGCACGUCUUGACGGUACCUAAUCAGAAAGCCACGGCUAACUACGUG
rnacentral:rRNA from 1 species